CAACAAAUAGCUCUGAAAACCAAAUAGGCCACGCUGUUGGAAGUCAGAGCGAACGAGGUCAAAUAGAAGCCUCAACUGGCUGGAUAUAAAGUCUUCUCAACUCCUUUGUGGAAAUUUCCAGGCUUCACAUUCAUUCAUCAGGAUAUCCUCUUUGCACACACUUACCAUUAAAAUCUUUGGGCUGCUGCAGACUCCACCUGAAGAUGACACAGCUGUACCAGAUAUGUUUAAAGGACCAACAGAGCGAGCACACAGCCACUAGAAUCACCUUUCGUUCCAUGAAGUCUCAGGAUGUGCCUCCUUCCAAAACAUGAGCUGGACACAGUGGACAUGGAUAAUUACUCCUGUGAUACCAGCAGACAUAUGGUCUUGUGGCAACACUUGAGCUCACUGAGCCCAGAUCAAAAUAUUUUACGAAAUGGUUUAUGCUAUAGGCCAAAGAAAGCUGAAAAAAGGUAAGAGACUUGUCUUUUUCUUGGAGAAGAAAUAGAUAUUUGGUAAAUUGAAACAACAAAAAGGCAUAAUACAACACAUGUAGGUGUCAUGAUCUAAGACAUGAGAAUAAAAAUAGAAUGUAUGAUUUUUUAAGCCAGAGAAGACAAUUUUAAUUAUCCCAGGAAUGCAGGAAAGAAGACAAAAAGGGGGAAAAGAAAAUACAGAAAUUUGGAAAUAUGAAAUAAUGUGGAAAAAAUAAUGACCAAGAGAACAGAAUGUGCACUAAUUGAAAAUUGGUUAAUCUCACUAAAUGAAAGACAGAACCAUUCAGACUAGAUUAUAAUAACACACAUACACAUACACGCUCACACAUACAGCAAUUUUGUAAAAGAGACAAUGGACUUGACAUCUUGAAAUAGGGAUUUUGUAGUUUACUAAAUGAAGAUCUACAUUCAUUAAGAA